rnacentral:rRNA from 1 species
UUUCCAGAGAUGGAUUGGUGCCUUCGGGAACUUAGAUACAGGUGCUGCAUGGCUGUCGUCAGCUCGUGUCGUGAGAUGUUGGGUUAAGUCCCGCAACGAGCGCAACCCUUUUCCUUAUUUGCCAGCGGGUCAUGCCGGGAACUUUAAGGAUACUGCCAGUGACAAACUGGAGGAAGGCGGGGACGACGUCAAGUCAUCAUGGCCCUUACGGCCAGGGCUACACACGUGCUACAAUGGUCGGUACAAAGGGUUGCUACCUCGCGAGAGGAUGCUAAUCUCAAAAAGCCGAUCGUAGUCCGGAUCGCAGUCUGCAACUCGACUGCGUGAAGUCGGAAUCGCUAGUAAUCGCGGAUCAGAAUGCCGCGGUGAAUACGUUCCCGGGCCUUGUACACACCGCCCGUCACACCAUGGGAGUUUGUUGCACCAGAAGUAGGUAGUCUAACCGCAAGGAGGACGCUUACCACGGUGUGGCCGAUGACUGGGGUGAAGUCGUAACAAGGUAGGCGUAGAUGA